UACGUAGGGGGCAAGCGUUGUCCGGAUUCAUUGGGCGUAAAGCGCGGGCAGGCGGCCUGCUCAGUCGGCCGUGAAAGCGCCGGGCUCAACUCGGCGAGGUCGGGCGAUACUGGCAGGCUGGAGGCUGGUAGAGGGCGGUGGAAUUCCGGGUGUAGUGGUGGAAUGCGUAGAGCUCCGGAGGAACACCAGUGGCGAAGGCGGCCGCCU
rnacentral:rRNA from 1 species